rnacentral:rRNA from 1 species
CUAUGGUUCCUUAGAUCGUACCUACUACAUGGAUAACUGUAGUAAUUCUAGAGCUAAUACAUGCCACUAUGCCCUGACCCGCAAGGGAACGGGUGGAUUUAUUAGAACAGAACCAACCGGUUGUGGCUUCGGCUGCUUCCGUUGCAUUCUGUGAUGACUCUGGAUAACUUCACUGAUCGCAGUCGGCCUUGUGUCGGCGACGGAUCUUUCAAAUGUCUGGCCUAUCAAUUUUCGAUGGUAGGUGAUCUGCCUACCAUGGUGAUAACGGGUAACGGGGAAUCAGGGUUCGAUUCCGGAGAGGGAGCCUGAGAAACGGCUACCACUUCCAAGGAAGGCAGCAGGCACGCAAAUUACCCAAUCCCGGAACGGGGAGGUAGUGACGAAAAAUACGGAUACGGGACUCGUAUGAGGCUCCGUAAUUCGAAUGAGUACAAUUUAAAUCCUUUAACGAGGAUCAACUGGAGGGCAAGUCUGGUGCCAGCAGCCGCGGUAACUCCAGCUCCAGAAGCGUAUAUUAAAGUUGUUGCAGUUAAAAAGCUCGUAGUUGGAUCUGGGUCGUAUGGCUAUGUGCCGUCUCUCGCAUUCUCGGCUUGGUUACGACUAGGUCAAGUUUGUGGGUCGGUGUCGUGGCUGUGCAGCCUUUAUACCGUGUCUGUUUCGACAGGUGCCGACUUAUUCAAUGAGCUUGCUCGUUGAUGUGUUGGCAUGCUUCCAGAUGCCUUUGAACGGGUGUCGGAGGCGGACGGUGCGUUUACUUUGAACAAAUUAG